GCCUGGAUAGCUCAGUUGGUUAGAGCAUGGUGCUGAUAAUUGCCAAGGUUGCAGGUUUGAUUCCCAUAUUCCUGCACUGGAGG